GACGAACCGUGCGAACGUUGUUCGGAAUCACUGGGCUUAAAGGGCGCGUAGGCGGUCUGCCAAGUCCGGGGUGAAAGCCCCCAGCUCAACUGGGGAAGUGCCUUGGAUACUGGCGGACUUGAGGGAGGCAGGGGUUGUGGGAACUUCCGGUGGAGCGGUGAAAUGCGUUGAUAUCGGAAGGAACGCCGGUGGCGAAAGCGACGUGCUGGACCUCUUCUGACGCUGAGUGCGCGAAAGCUAGGGGAGCAAACGGG
rnacentral:rRNA from 1 species